AAAGAAACAGAGAGAUAUGGAUAUUCCUAGGAUGAGCAAGCCUCAUGCAGUGUGCAUCCCCUACCCAGCUCAGGGUCACAUAAACCCAAUGCUCAAACUAGCAAAACUACUCCAUCACAGUGGCUUUUACAUUACUUUUGUUCACACUGAGCAUAACCAGAGACGCUUGCUUAAGUCUAGAGGCUCCAACUCCCUUCCUGGCCUUCCUGACUUUGUCUUUGAAACCAUCCAGGACGGUCUACCUCCGACUGAUGCUGAUGCUAGCCAAGAAAUUGCAUCUCUUGUUGAGGCUACCUCAACGAAUUGCUUAGUCCCAUUCCGUGAGCUUCUUGCUAAACUUAACUCGUCCUCUGAUAUUCCACCAGUUUCUUGCAUAAUCUCCGAUGGUAUCAUGACUUUUACUCUUAAAGCUGCUGAAGAAAUUGGAGUCCCUGAUGUUCUUUUUUGGACUACAAGUGCUUGUGGAUUCUUAGGCUAUGCAAAUUCUAAGAAUCUUAUUGAAAGAGG
rnacentral:misc_RNA from 1 species